AUUGAACGCUGGCGGCAGGCCUAACACAUGCAAGUCGAGCGGAUGAAGAGAGCUUGCUCUCUGAUUUAGCGGCGGACGGGUGAGUAAUGCCUAGGAAUCUGCCUGGUAGUGGGGGAUAACGUCCGGAAACGGGCGCUAAUACCGCAUACGUCCUACGGGAGAAAGCCGGGGACCUCCGGGCCUUGCGCUAUCAGAUGAGCCCAGGUCGGAUUAGCUCGUUGGUGAGGUAAUGGCGCACCACGGCGACGAUCCGUAACUGGUCUGAGAGGAUGAUCAGUCACACUGGAACUGAGACACGGGCCAGACUCCUACGGGAGGCAGCAGUGGGGAAUAUUGGACAAUGGGCGAAAGCCUGAUCCAGCCAUGCCGCGUGUGUGAAGAAGGUCUUCGGAUUGUAAAGCACUUUAAGUUGGGAGGAAGGGCAGUAAGUUAAUACCUUGCUGUUUUGACGUUACCGACAGAAUAAGCACCGGCUAACUCUGUGCCAGCCGCCGCCGUAAUAC
rnacentral:rRNA from 1 species